CGAGAGCCGACUUCCCACCUCCAUCGAGAGCCGGUGCUUCCCCGCUGCUGUCUUCCUCCUUCCGUUCGCCUAGCCCCCUCUAAAAUUCGGUCGAUGCCCUACUUGUGCGCGCGCCGACUUCCCACCUCCAUCGCGAGCCGGUGCUUCCCCGCUGCCGUCUUCCUCCUUCUCCUCUGAGUGGAACAGGGGGCGAAUCCCGUGUUCGUCCCGAUCGGACGCCGCGUCCCAGCGUCUCGCCCCACAAGCACACAAUCCUCUCUUGUGGACUCCCCCAAGCCCUUGUUCCUUUGGAUAAACAGAGCAGCGCCCUGUUUCUCUCGAUCCUGACUGCGCGACCGCGGCCCCAGCUGCCCUCGCCGCCGCCGGUACUCGUCCGAGAUAGGGUAACAAUAUGCCCCGAGGGAGACGAUUUAGAGAUGUGGAG